rnacentral:rRNA from 1 species
ACCCGCUGAACUUAAGCAUAUCAAUAAGCGGAGGAAAAGAAACCAACAGGGAUUGCCCUAGUAACGGCGAGUGAAGCGGCAACAGCUCAAAUUUGAAAUCUGGCGUCUUUGGCGUCCGAGUUGUAAUUUGCAGAGGGCGCUUUGGCAUUGGCAGCGGUCCAAGUUCCUUGGAACAGGACGUCACAGAGGGUGAGAAUCCCGUACGUGGUCGCUAGCCUUUACCGUGUAAAACCCCUUCGACGAGUCGAGUUGUUUGGGAAUGCAGCUCUAAAUGGGAGGUAAAUUUCUUCUAAAGCUAAAUACUGGCCAGAGACCGAUAGCGCACAAGUAGAGUGAUCGAAAGAUGAAAAGCACUUUGGAAAGAGAGUUAAAAAGCACGUGAAAUUGUUGAAAGGGAAGCGCUUGCAGCCAGACUUGCCUGUAGUUGCUCAUCCGGGUUUCUACCCGGUGCACUCUUCUAUAGGCAGGCCAGCAUCAGUUUGGGCGGUUGGAUAAAGGUCUCUGUCAUGUACCUCUCUUCGGGGAGAACUUAUAGGGGAGACGACAUGCAACCAGCCUGGACUGAGGUCCGCGCAUCUGCUAGGAUGCUGGCGUAAUGGCUGU